rnacentral:pre_miRNA from 13 species
CAGCUACUGAAAAGCAUAGAUGCCCUCAGUGGCUCAGUAGCCAGUGUAGAUCCUGUCUUUUGUAAUCAGCAGCUACAUCUGGCUACUGGGUCUCUGAUUACAUCUUCUAACUUCUAUUACAAUA